rnacentral:rRNA from 1 species
AGGGAAUCUUCCACAAUGGGCGAAAGCCUGAUGGAGCAACGCCGCGUGUGUGAUGAAGGCUUUCGGGUCGUAAAGCACUGUUGUAUGGGAAGAACAGCUAGAAUAGGAAAUGAUUUUAGUUUGACGGUACCAUACCAGAAAGGGACGGCUAAAUACGUGCCAGCAGCCGCGGUAAUACGUAUGUCCCGAGCGUUAUCCGGAUUUAUUGGGCGUAAAGCGAGCGCAGACGGUUUAUUAAGUCUGAUGUGAAAGCCCGGAGCUCAACUCCGGAAUGGCAUUGGAAACUGGUUAACUUGAGUGCAGAAGAGGACAGUGGAACUCCAUGUGUAGCGGUGAAAUGCGUAGAUAUAUGGAAGAACACCAGUGGCGAAGGCGGCUGUCUGGUCUGUAACUGACGCUGAGGCUCGAAAGCAUGGGUAGCAAACAGGAUUAGAUACCCUGGUAGUCCAUGCCGUAAACGAUGAGUGCUAGGUGUUGGAGGGUUUCCGCCCUUCAGUGCCGCAGCUAACGCAUUAAGCACUCCGCCUGGGGAGUACGACCGCAAGGUUGAAACUCAAAGGAAUUGACGGGGGCCCGCACAAGCGGUGGAGCAUGUGGUUUAAUUCGAAGCAACGCGAAGAACCUUACCAGGUCUUGACAUCCUUUGACCACUCUAGAGAUAGAGCUUUCCCUUCGGGGACAAAGUGACAGGUGGUGCAUGGUUGUCGUCAGCUCGUGUCGUGAGAUGUUGGGUUAAGUCCCGCAACGAGCGCAACCCUUAUUACUAGUUGCCAGCAUUUAGUUGGGCACUCUAGUGAGACUGCCGGUGACAA